rnacentral:misc_RNA from 1 species
AAGUCGUAACAAGGUCUCCGUUGGUGAACCAGCGGAGGGAUCAUUACUGAGUUAUCUAAACUCCCAACCCUAUGUGAACCUUACCGUCGUUGCCUCGGCGGGCUGGGGAGCUACCCUGUAGUAGCCCCCCGCGCGGCCCGCCGGUGGACCGUCAACUCUUGUUUUUCGUAUGGAAUUCUGAAUGCUUCAACUUAAUAAGUUAAAACUUUCAACAACGGAUCUCUUGGUUCUG